GCCAGGUGUGGUGGCUCACGCCUGUAGUCCCAGCACUUUGGGAGGCUGAGACAGGAGGAUUGCUUGAGCCCAGGAGUUCAAGACCAGCUUGGGCAACAUGGCAAGACCCUGUCUCUA
ensembl:misc_RNA Metazoa_SRP Metazoan signal recognition particle RNA